CUUGACACUGAACAUUGAGCCUUGAUGUGUAGGAUAGGUGGGAGGCUUUGAAGCGUGGACGCCAGUCUGCGUGGAGCCAACCUUGAAAUACCACCCUUUAAUGUUUGAUGUUCUAACGUUGGCCCCUAAUCGGGGUUGCGGACAGUGUCUGGUGGGUAGUUUGACUGGGGCGGUCUCCUCCCAAAGAGUAACGGAGGAGCACGAAGGUUAGCUAAUCCUGGUCGGACAUCAGGAGGUUAGUGCAAUGGCAUAAGCUA
rnacentral:rRNA from 1 species